CAGUCGCCACGGUAAUACAGAGGGUGCAAGCGUUAAUCGGAAUUACUGGGCGUAAAGCGCGCGUAGGUGGUUCGCCAAGUUGGAUGUGAAAUCCCCGGGCUCAACCUGGGAACUGCAUCCAAAACUGGCGAGCUAGAGUAUGGUAGAGGGUGGUGGAAUUUCCUGUGUAGCGGUGAAAUGCGUAGAUAUAGGAAGGAACAUCAGUGGCGAAGGCGACCACCUGGACUGAUACUGACACUGAGGUGCGAAAGCGUGGGGAGCAAACAGGAUUAGAUACCCCCGUAGUCCCUGUCUCUUAUAC
rnacentral:rRNA from 1 species